UUAGCUCGGCACACUAAGGUUACUGGUAUCAACCCAGUGAUAACCAAUGCCACUAUAUGGCAUUUCAUUACCUCUAACGUUAUUGGUUGUGUGGGAAGUCAAAUAAGGUUUGGAGCUGAACAACAAGCUUGACAUCUGCCUACACAACUUUUUCAUCACUGACUACCAGUACCACAUCUAGUACGUAAUAAUGAUUUGAAUUAAUUCAUUUAAGUACAAGUGCUUUACCAUGAAAACAAUCCGAAUGGUUGUUUUCAUGGUAAAGACAUCCUGCUCCAAAGGCCUACUGUUUCAGCCUGCUGGAAUUAUUGAGCCACUCCAUUGUUCAAGGUGGUCCCAGUUUUAGUGCUUUACAUCCAGCAAUCUACUUCUACUUAGCAGAUGCAAACCUUCUGUAUGUACUCUCUCAACUAAGAAGACCAGAUUUCCUCCUCAAUGCAGAACUUAUCAAGCUUUCAUAAAGAAAUAACAAUUGCUAGUCCCAGACUGAGGGACUGAAGGCUGGUUUUCACUUGUGAUGGAGUUGUAGUUGGAGUUGUAUGUAAUCAGAAGCAUAGAGAAACAUGAUCUAAUGAAAAUCAAACUGACAGAAUCAGAAGCAGAACACUAAUUCUGCUUGUGACUCUGUCCCUUCCGAUCUCAUAAAAACUAGAAUGUCAGAGUUGCAAGCAGAAACAUAAGAAUAAACCAAUCACAAUGACCCAAAUGUCCAAUUUCAUGGAGUUUUCUCUGUGACAUUGACUCAGCUUAUGACUCUGAUGUAAGUGAAAACCAGCCUCAAACAAUUUUGCUUAGUUGUGGUUAUCAGUGCAGUCAGGGAAAGUUAAUUAUGAAUAAGAAAGUUGAUGUUUUUCACAACAGUUAAGUCUUCUUAGUAAUCUUACUAAAAAUUACAAUAGGGAUUUCAGUAUUAUACUUACAAGUACUCUUAAUUUAGUGAUGUGUUAUGCAGUGAUUAGCAGUUCCUUUCUGUAGGACUAUUAAAAUGUUGCUUUUAAAACCACAAUGUUUGAAUUUGCAUGCACAGUCAUCAAUGUUAUACAUGUAUAGAUGUACUUUAAGGACAGAAUCAGUAAAUGGCAUGUUUUAGAUUUGGUUUUUCAACUACAAAACAUUGUACAAAUUUUCCCAAAGUAUUCCUUUGUGUUGUGGAGAAAAAUAUGUGAAAAAGAUGAUGGUUUGUCUUCAUUUGUGAUACAUUUUUUUGUAUUUUUAAUUAGCAUCACAAUAACCAAAAGUACUUAGUCCUUAUAUCAGUACCAUUUUGGUAAUACAGAAAAAUCACAUUGACAUAGAACUCAAGUGUUUCUACAUGUAUACAUUAACUAAUGCCUUCAAAUGUAACACAAGAUUAAGGUAGAUAUCAAAUCCCAGACAUUGACUCUCAGCCACAGGGCCAUUCUGUUCGAGGCAUACACAUAGAUCAUUUUCUGCCAUCAUGAUACUAGGUAGUUCUAUAUCAGAAACUUCCACGGGCAUUGUCAUCCAGGAGUACACUGUUUCCAUCCCAUUGAAAAUCAGGUCGGGGGUGAUUCCAAUCAAUGCCAUAAUGAAUAUUGUCCACCUGUGGAAUAGAAAUUACAUGUAGAUGGACAGAAACAUUAGAUCAGUUAGUCCUCUGUCCAGCUGGUCAUCUUGUAUGUAAGUAAAUGAAAAGUAAAUGAAAACAAAAUCCACCAAGUAAAGUUAACUUCCCUUGGGUGCAGCCUGACUGCCUUACCCUUACCCAUUCCUUUUUAUCAAUAUUUUUCAACCUCCUUUAAGCAGAAAGCAAUGAUUUUUCCUAAGGGUGUCUGCUAAUAGCAGGUUAGACUGUACUUUUGUAGUCAUGACCACAAUAAACAGCUUUUUUCUCAUUGUAGGAUUUUUAUCAUAAAAAUGAAAUGUUAGAGCAAAGGUUAUCCAAAUGGGAAAAAAUUAAUUUGUUGAGAUAGGGCUCUCACACAGCAUAAGAAGUCAUGUAAUAAAUUAAAUAUUUCAAACUCAGUAGAAAUGCCAGAACAAAAGAACUAUUUCAGAACAAACAGACCUGGACCAAUUGGGAAUUAUUUGAUAUUAGUCCUGUGCCAACAUACAUUAUAGAUAGGAAACAGUACAUGUACUUUCAACAUACCAAUAGUUGUGCUUGCUCUGCAGAGAAUGAAAAUCUUUAAAGACCCACAACCAUAACUGAAUUGGAGACAUGUUUUCCUCUGUGGAUAGAGGGUGAUGAUUCUGCCCUUUUGUAAACUCUUGAAGAUGGGCAUUUAUUCGUGCAUCAAUACUUCAUUUACUUUAGUUCUAUGCUUGUGGCAUCAGCUGAAAAUACAUUAUUAAUACAUGUAAUUACUGAAAUAUUAAUCUGUAAACAAAAAGUACAAAAACAUCUAAAAUAAAACCUUGGAUAACAAGUAA